CCUGCCUACUCGCCGCAGCCGACCCAAUAUGGAGGUGGAGCAUACGGCGGUCAGCAAGGGUAUGGA
rnacentral:ribozyme from 1 species